rnacentral:piRNA from 1 species
AAAGUGCUAGUUUAAAAUACAUGUUUGCA